AAGUACCGCGAAGGAACUCGGCAAAAUCGCGCUGUAACUUCGGGAGAAGGAGUGCCAGCUUAGAGAUAAGCUGGUCGCAGUAACAAGGGGACUCCGACUGUUUAAUAAAAACAUAGCCGACUGCUAGUUCGAAAGGAUGUGUAUAGUCGGUGAAUCCUGCUCAGUGCCGGUAUCUGAAAUCGGGUUUCAAUCUGACGAAGGACCGGUAAACAGCGGGGGUAACUAUGACCCUCUUAAGGUAGCGUAAUACCUUGUCGCUUAAUUGGCGACUUGCAUGAAUGGCACAACGAGAGUCCCACUGUCUCCGCGGUACGUCCGGCGAAAUUGACUAUUACUGGCGCACAGUCCAGUAACCUCAACCUGCAAGCGAAGACCCCGUAGAGCUUUACUGCAGCCUGGCGCUGUACAUUCGCACACUUUGUGCUGAGUAGACGGGAGAUGUCGAUCCUCAGGACGCUAGUUCUGAGAGGAGUCGUCCAUAGAGACACCGUCCUUAGUGUGUGGCUGUACUUACUCUUCAUGAGGACACCGCUUGGUGGGCAGGUUGGGUGGGGCGCAACGCGCCCGAAAACCUAACAGGCGUGCCCAAAGGUCAGCUUAGGUGGUUCAGUCUCCACCGUAAACCGUAAGGGGAAAAGCUGGCUUGACGUGGAUCGGAUCAAUAACGAUCGACGAUGCGAAAGCAGGGCCUAACGAACCAAUGUGCCUCAUUUCUGGGGGCCAUUGAUAACAGAAAAGUUACCUCGGGGAUAAUUGAGUUGUCACCAGCAAGAGCACAUAUCGACCUGGUGGCUUGCUACUUCGAUGUCGUAUCUUCCCAACCUCCUGGUGCAGCAGCUGGGAAGGGUGGGGUUGUUCGCCCAUUAAAGGGGAUCGUGAGAUGGGUUUAGACCGUCGUGAGACAGGUUUGUUGCUUUGUGGUUGAGGCGUAUCAGGUGCCUGAUCGGAAGGGCCCUUUAGUACGAGAGGAACGAGGGCUCGGAGCCACUAGUUUACCAGUUGUCCGGCAGGGCAACGCUGGGUAGCCACGCUCCAGCGGAUAAGAGCUGAAAGCAUCUAAGCUCGAAGUCGCCCGAAAGACGAGGCACCUCAGGGGACUCGUAGAAGACGAGUUUGAUAGACAGCGGGUGUAAGGACCGAGGUUCGCCGAGGUCUUCAGCCCAGCUGCACUAACCCCCCGAGCAUCCAAAUA
rnacentral:rRNA from 1 species